UUCGUUAUGUGACCAAAGUUUUGGUCACAGAUCAAGAAUGAGACAUGGGGGAGCCAACCUUGGAGAGCUGAGCGUAAA
ensembl:snoRNA SNORD39 Small nucleolar RNA SNORD55/SNORD39